rnacentral:rRNA from 1 species
AGUGAACGCUGGCGGUAGGCCUAACACAUGCAAGUCGAACGGCAGCACAGUAAGAGCUUGCUCUUACGGGUGGCGAGUGGCGGACGGGUGAGGAAUACAUCGGAAUCUACUUUUUCGUGGGGGAUAACGUAGGGAAACUUACGCUAAUACCGCAUACGACCUACGGGUGAAAGCAGGGGAUCUUCUGACCUUGCGCGAUUGAAUUAGCCGAUGUCGGAUUAGCUAGUUGGCGGGGUAAAGGCCCACCAAGGCGACGAUCCGUAGCUGGUCUGAGAGGAUGAUAAGCAACACUGGAACUGAGACACGGUCCAGACUCCUACGGGAGGCAGCAGUGGGGAAUAUUGGACAAUGGGCGAAAGCCUGAUCCAGCCAUACCGCGUGGGUGAAGAAGGCCUUCGGGUUGUAAAGCCCUUUUGUUGGGAAAGAAAAGCAGCAGGUUAAUACCCCGCUGUUCUGACGGUACCCAAAGAAUAAGCACCGGCUAACUUCGUG